GGGGAUGUAAAGGUUUCGACGGGGGCUUUGACCACCGGCAAGCGGGUAGCGGUGUGGAGCCGCUAUAAAAUCCACAAUCUUUAAAACAACUGACAAGACUAAAGUUGCAAUGGCUGCGUAAGCAGCCUGUCCUGUCAGAGAGCACCACGGCUCUGACAAGGGCAUCGAUCCAGUGGUAAAUGUGAACCGCGGCUAGUCUCGUCCGCAGUCACACAUAAGAGACUACCGAGGCGUAUAGCCUGUUAUUGGGCGAUACUCUAAGGGAACUCAAAACAAUAACUACACCCGUAGAAAACCGUUGCAACGAGCUUUCGGACAGGAGUUCGAUUCUCCUCAUCUCCACCA
rnacentral:tmRNA from 1 species